AGCAUUAACAUGACCAGUGACAGUGCGACCAGGUUCAUUUCACCACCAUUCGCCAGGGUGUUUACAUUCUCUAACUGGAUACCGGGUCCCUGCCAUUUCCACAUCAGGCUGAUUGUUACCUUGUAUGUAUGUUGUUACAGGGUGGUUAACUUCACCAGCGGCCCCCUUUCCCGGGGCAGUCCCUUCUCUCCCCUGCUAGAGGGGCACCCUAAUCCGUCACCCCAUCCAACUUCAGAAUGUAUUCGUUGGGUUCAGCAACUCACCACCAGCAUCCAACCAAAUCUAGCGGAUCAACGGCGCAUCAACUUAGUUCCUGGUCAGCUCGCAAGUUGAUAUUAUCACGUCCUACACCGUCCAUAAGAUGGGGGGCCACCUCCCAUUUCAUGACUCCUCAAACACCCGAGGAGCCGGCAGGCGGAUUUGAACCCGGGUCGACUGGGUCGACUGGGAGCAGAAGUCAGGCCUUAACCUCUGCCAGCCGCCUGCCUGUAUGUAUGAUGUUACAGGGUGGUUAACUUCGCCAGCGGCCCCCUUUCCCGGGGCAGUCCCUGCUCUCCCCUGCUAGAGGGGCACCCUAAUCCGUCACCCAAUCCGACUUCAGAAUGUAUUCGUUGGGUUCGGCAACUCACCACCAGCAUCCAACCAUAUCUAGCGGAUCAACGGCGCAUCAACUUAGUUCCUGGUCAGCUCGCAAGUUGAUAGGCGGAGGAGGCGGAGGAGGAGGACAACGAUGACAAGGAGGAAGUGCAGCUGCCACUGCAGCAGCAGCACAGGCAGCCAGCCAACAAUAGCUGCAGCAGUGGCCAUGGCAACAUCAAUGGCAGGCAAUUGAUGUGCCCACCCUUGCUGCUGCCACGACGACAGGCUGAGUUGCUUUGGGUUGGUAGGUUGCGUUGCGUUCGUCCACAAGGCCAGCACCAGCAAGGUUUUGCUCUCGCGCAGCGAAGCACCCAGGCUGAGUUGCUUUUGGUUGGUAGGUUGCGUUGCGUUUUAUCCACAAGGCCAGCCCCAGCAGUUUUUCCAAGUACUAAAAUACUAUUACAGAAAGUUGCAUUACAUUUUGUUAUUUAAUUAUUAGCUAUUAUAUUACUAGCAUUUAAUGUAUUGAAAUUUGCAAUAUAUGUCGAAUUUAUAUUACUCGUAAAAGUUGUAAUACCAUCGAAUGUUGUAUUGCUACUAAAUAAAUUAAUACCAUAAAAUGUUGCAUUUGAUGUUAAUUCUAUAGCAUUACUGAAUACUGUUUUUCCAAGUAAUAAUAUACUAUUACAGAAAGUUGCAUUACAUUUUGUUAUUAAAUUAUUUGCUAUUAUAUUACUAGCAUUAAAAGUAUUGAAAUUUGCGAUAUAUGUCGAAUUUAUAUUACUCGUAAAAGUUGUAAUGCCAUCGAAUGUUGUAUUGCUAGUAAAUAAAUUUAUACAAUAAAAUGUAGCAUUAGAGGUUAAUUCUACUGAAUUACUGAAUACUGUUUUACCAAGUAAUAAUAUACUAUUACAGAAAGUUGCAUUACAUUUUGUUAUUAAAUUAUUUGCUAUUAUAUUACUAGCAUUAAAAGUAUUGAAAUUUGCGAUAUAUGUCGAAUUUAUAUUACUCGUAAAAGUCGUUAUCGGGCUACCGAUGCAUAUCCGGUAGCUAAGUGAUAGACAUUAGGGCACCGUCUGGACGGCGCAGUGAGAUCACGGAAUGUACGUGCAGUUAGAUCGCGGAAUGCACGAGUUUUCCGCUAGCGCCGGUAUUUAGGGCGGUGACUGCGCCUAUUAGUUUAUCUCAUAACGAUCGGUAUUCCUACCAGGAAUCUCCUCAAGUCCUGCCGAACGCUAACAAUACUCUUUACAUUACUUGUAACAGUUUAUCGUGCUAAAUAUCUUCGCCACCGGCAAUCCUUCCGAAAUAACAAUCAGCGUUAGCCAUCACCGUCGCCAAUUCUUCAAUAGGUUAUGAGCCCUGCUUAGCGCCGACAGUUAUCGCCCAAUUGUUGAUGUUGAUGUUGAUGUUGUUACAGGGUGGUUAAGCUUCACCAGUGGCCUCCUUCCCGAGGCAAUUCCCUGCUCUCCCCUGCUAGAGGGGGCACCCUAAGCCAUUCACCCCAUCCGACUUCAGAGUGUACUCUUUGAGUUUGGCAACUCACCACCAGCAUCCAACCAAAUUUAGCGGAUCAACGGCGCUUCAACUUAGUUAUUGGUCAGCUCGCGAGUUCACUUUAUCACGUCCUACACCGUCCACAAGAUGGGGGGCCACCUCCCAUUUCAUCACCUCUCAAACUCCCCGAGAGGUCGGCAGGCGGAUUUGAACCCGGACGCGCCGGGACGCGACGGGAGCAGAAGCCAGGCCUUAACUUCUGCCAGCCGCCUGCCAAUUGUUAUUUCUAUCCCUCAUCAACAAUGGUUAAGGACAAGCUUGAUGAGUCGCUGGAUCUCAACAACUACUCUACCUGGCAAAUUCGGUUCAGCGUGUUGUGCAUGGAGCUUGGGCUUGAGCAAUCCCUGCUCGCCGAGCCGUGCAACGAGGAGCAAAUUCGACAGUCACGGAAGGUCAUCAAUCUGCUCAUCAAGAACGUCAAGGAUCAUCAUUUGCCGAUGGUUACCGGUGCUGCCAACGCG
rnacentral:lncRNA from 1 species